CCGCCCGUAGCUCAUCUGGAUAGAGCACCGGCCUUCUAAGCCGGGGGUAGUGGGUUCGAAUCCCGCCGGGCGGACCA
rnacentral:tRNA from 2 species